GAUGAAGAACGCAGCGAAAUGCGAUAAGUAAUGUGAAUUGCAGAAUUCCGUGAAUCAUCGAAUCUUUGAACGCACAUUGCGCCCCCUGGUAUUCCGGGGGGCAUGCCUGUCCGAGCGUCAUUGCUGCCCUCAAGCACGGCUUGUGUGUUGGGCCUCCGUCCUCCUCCCGGGGGACGGGCCCGAAAGGCAGCGGCGGCACCGCGUCCGGUCCUCGAGCGUAUGGGGCUUCGUCACCCGCUCUUGUAGGCCCGGCCGGCGCUUGCCGACACAUCAAUCUUUUUUCCAGGUUGACCUCGGAUCAGGUAGGGAUACCCGCUGAACUUAAGCAUAUCAAUAAGGGAGGA
rnacentral:misc_RNA from 1 species